ensembl:lncRNA
CAAAAAUGGAUGCCUAACAGAGAGGACAAAAAUGGAUGCCUAACAGAGAGGACAAAAAUGGAUGCCUAACAGAGAGGACAAAAAUUGAUGCCUAACAGAGUGGACAAAAAUGUAUGCUUAAUUCAAGUGGUAUACACAGUAGCAAUUAUGUUUUACUCAGUUGCUUUAUGACUCUAAAACCUAAUUUAAAGAAUAUUUCACUCGAAACUGAGAUUUGGUGAACUCCGUCAGAUUAGUCUAAAAUCUCAAAAGAAUCAGGAUUGAGUAGGGUCAGCUAUGCCAUAAGGACCCCUUUUCGUUAGAUUACGAUAGAAUAUGAAUUUUGGUUAAAAUAUGUUACAUUUAAGUCACAGAGGGCUCUUGCAUAAAACUACAUAAGAUUGCGUUUCAGUUAAUAUCCAUUAUUACCAUUUUUUAUUUUUAUAAAAAAAUAAUUUUGGGGAGUUUGAAAUUGGGAUCCUUUGCUCAGGACAGGGCAUUUCCAGGCAUAGAGCCGACAUGGAAAUUAAUAAUAUUGAGAGUAUUUAGAAGAUUUGAGAAAGAAAAAAAAAUAUAUAUAUGUGUGUGUGUGUGUGUGUGUGUGUGUGUGUGUGUGUGUGUGUGUGUGUGUGUGUGUGUGUGUGUGUGUGUGUGUGUGUGUGUGUGUGUGUGUGCUAUGCCAGUGGAUCUAUGACACUGUGACCUUGUGAGUGUCCCUGUGAGGGGGUGGACUGGGGCAGUGGAUCUAUGACACUGUGACCUUGUGAGUGUCCCCGGGGGGAGUGGACUGGGGCAGUGGAUCUAUGACACUGUGACCUUGUGAGUGUCCCGGGGGAGUGGACUGGGGCAGUGGAUCUAUGACACUGUGACCUUGUGAUUGUCCCAGGGGGGGGUGGACUGGACCAGUGGAUCUAUGACACUGUGACCUUGUGAGUGUCCCAG